rnacentral:rRNA from 1 species
AUGCACGCUGGCGGCGUGCCUAAUCCAUGCAAGUCGAGCGAACAGACGAGGAGCUUGCUCCUCUGACGUUAGCGGCGGACGGGUGAGUAACACGUGGAUAACCUACCUAUAAGACUGGGAUAACUUCGGGAAACCGGAGCUAAUACCGGAUAAUAUAUUGAACCGCAUGGUUCAAUAGUGAAAGACGGUUUUGCUGUCACUUAUAGAUGGAUCCGCGCCGCAUUAGCUAGUUGGUAAGGUAACGGCUUACCAAGGCAACGAUGCGUAGCCGACCUGAGAGGGUGAUCGGCCACACUGGAACUGAGGCACGGUCCAGACUCCUACGGGAGGCAGCAGUAGGGAAUCUUCCGCAAUGGGCGAAAGCCUGACGGAGCAACGCCGCGUGAGUGAUGAAGGUCUUCGGAUCGUAAAACUCUGUUAUUAGGGAAGAACAAAUGUGUAAGUAACUAUGCACGUCUUGACGGUACCUAAUCAGAAAGCCACGGCUAACUACGUG